CAUAUUCUUAUUGAUUUUAUUUAUUUAAAUUUUUUUAGUGUAUUGACUUGUAUAUACAAUAAAUUUAAACCUGUAAGCUUAAACUAUAAGGUUUUUUUAGAUUGCAUUGACUUGUAUAUACUUUUUAACAUUGAGAAUAUGCAUUCCAGAUAUUGGACUGGAUACUGGGACAUAAUGAAGCAUUAUUUAGGAGAGCUCAGUUGAAAGCCCUUGUCUCCAUCCAUAGCCAAGAGGCUGGCUGGCAAGGGAGGUGAACUUACACAUGAUGAGACGACAAUUAUAAGUGGUGCACUUAACUUAACUGAAAAGCAUUGGAGGAGUAAGUGAUGGACUAAGCAGAAAAUUGACGAAGUAGAAAAUUGAAGCACAAAAUUUGCGAUCGUUAGAGUUACAAGUGUUUGCUGAGAAAACUACACACACACUUAUAGAGAUAGAGAAAGAGAAAGAGAAAGAGAGAUAUAUAAAUAGAUAGAGAAGCAUUGGUGGCGGUUUGUGCCCUAUUAAUGUAAGUUGCUUCUCUGAACAAAACAUAAAAAAUGUUGCAAACUAAUUUCGGUUUAAUGUAACGAACUAAUUUUAGAAUCUUUAUUUG